UACGAAUGGGGCAAGCGUUGUUCGGAAUCACUGGGCUUAAAGCGUGCGCAGGCGGUCUUGCAAGUCAGGAGUGAAAUCCCGGGGCUUAACCCCGGAAUUGCUUUUGAAACUGCAAGACUAGAAUAUGGGAGAGGUUAGCAGAAUUCCGAGUGUAGAGGUGAAAUUCGCAGAUAUUCGGAGGAAUACCAGUGGCGAAGGCGGCUAACUGGACCAUUAUUGACGCUCAGGCACGAAAGCGUGGGGAGCAAACAGG
rnacentral:rRNA from 1 species